rnacentral:snRNA from 1 species
GUGCUCCCCUUGGCAGCACAUAUACUAAAAUUGGAAUGAUACAGAGAAGAUUAGCAUAGCCCCUGCACAAGGAUGACACACAAAUUCGUGAAAUGUUCCAUAUUUUG